rnacentral:rRNA from 1 species
UACGUAGGGUGCAGGCGUUAAUCGGAAUUACUGGGCGUAAAGGGCGCGUAGGCGGCCUGCUAAGUCGAACGUGAAAUCCCUGGGCUCAACCCAGGAACUGCGUCCGAUACUGGUUGGCUUGAAUCCGGGAGAGGGAUGUGGAAUUCCAGGUGUAGCGGUGAAAUGCGUAGAUAUCUGGAGGGACACCGGUGGCGAAGGCGACAUCCUGGACCGGUAUUGACGCUGAGGCGCGAAAGCCAGGGGAGCAAACGGG